CUUGGUCAUUUAGAGGAAGUAAAAGUCGUAACAAGGUACUGGUAGGUGUUCCUGCCAGUGGAUCAUUACUAUGGGCUACGGCCCUUAAGAUAUCAACCCUGACUUUUGGAAGUACCGUCCGUUUCCUCGGCAGGCCCGCCUGCCAGCGAGGACCCUUUAAAACCUUUCAAUCGUAGCAGUGUUUGUCUGAAAAAUACGCAAAUGAAUUAAAACUUUCAACAAUGGAUCUCUUGAUUCCGGCUUCGAUGAAGAACGCAGCGAAAUGCGAUAACUAGUGUGAAUUGYAGAAUUCAGUGAAUCAUCGAGUCUUUGAACGCACAUUGCGCCCAAGGGCACUCCUUUGGGCAUGCCUGUUCGAGCGUCAUCUAAACCCUUCAAGCCCAGCUUGGCGAUGGGCGCCUGUCCGCCGCGUGCGGACCCGCCCCAAAUAUAUUGGCAGCCGGCCGACCCGCCCCGAAGCGCAGCAGAAGCGCGCGUCGCGAGGCGGGCGCCGGCGCUCCAGCGAGCGAACACCACCCCAUUUGACCUCGAAUCAGGCAGGGAUACCCGCUGAACUUAAGCAUAUCAAUAAGCGGAGGA
rnacentral:rRNA from 1 species